AGUGAGCAUUAAUUCUUUAGUUCUCAAAGCAAACUACACAAAUGAAUGCUGCAUAUUCUAUUGUAAAUUUAACCCUUUCCAUGCUAUUCAAAACUAAGCCCUGUUGAUGCAUUUCAGUAACUUAGCAUUUAGAAAUCGCCUCUUGUUGUGCCCAUAAACCCAACACUCUGCUCCAAUUAGAUUCCUUUUUUUUUUAAAUGGUUUGGUGUUUGAUAGAAACCAAAGAAGAAAAAAAAAAAAAAACUGUGCUGAGUGUUAAAAUCAGUGCAUAAUUAAGCGUUAAAAAGCAGAAGCCAGGUUUGUUAUUUACUACUGCACAACUACAAAACAGCAAAGCACCUGCACUAUUUCAGUUGACAAUGUAGAAUGGGAAAAAAAAGGUCUGUUGAGGCUUCUAAGCUUUUACAAAUACUUUGUGAGGAUGUAAGGCUGUGCACGCACACAAAGACUCACAGAUCUGUAUAAAGAUGUUGGGAGUGUACUGAAAACACAACAGAAAACUCAUGUGUAACGUGCAAUUUGAACUCAUCUUUUGCAGAUAUGAAUGCAAGAUCCUGUGACGUGACAGAAAAAUCAGGUUUUCAUAUUUCCCAUUCAGCAUACACUAAGUAUGUAGCAUACAGUGGGGUACAGCCUUGGCAAGAGCCUCAGCAACAUGAGGAGCCUUUUAUCUGCAAAUAAAAUGAUGCUUCCACUGCCAACAGAGGAAAAUACAGAAGUGUGUCUUCUCCAUGCAUUGCUUGCCGAAGUUGCGCAGGACCAGGACAGGAGGGGUGAACAGCUCCAGGCAUAUGGGGCCCAACAGCAUCCCUCUGAAGGUGGAGAGAGAAGAACUGAAGUGUUUGACUCAGAGCAGUGCUCUGUUCUCAGGAGACAACGGGAGCCAAGGAAAAGAAGCAGCAAGAGGACUUCUCUGAUGACAGUUUGAUGGUCGCUGUAACUUGCUACAAGUUAGGAGAGAGCUGGCUGGUGGACUUGAAGCGGGAGAAGAUCAAGAAGAAGAGUCCUGAUGUUAUGGAGAUGGGCAGUGCUGCACCAGUGGCAGGGUUUCUCCAGUAUGGCAUUUGUUGGGGUUUGUGGAUCUGCUCUUCUGACAAGACUCAGUAAGGCUCAGAGACUGUUUGAAGCAGUCUCUUGCAGUAGCUAUUGCAGAGGGGUACUUCAUUGCUGCUGCUGAUACUGAGGUAACCUCUGGGUCAGGAAAUGGGGUCCUCCUGUCCCAUCCUGCCACUAGCUCAUGACUGUUUUGCUGCGGUGUGUUUAGGUAACAGAUUGUCAGCGUGUCCCGGCAGUGCUCCUGGUAAGCAUGAAGAGAAAUCUGCCCACACAUAGCCCACAGCUGCAAGGCUGUAACACAAAUCUGAGUCAGGUUAAGAGCACGAGAAAAUGAUGUGGAAAAUAAAUACAUCACUCAGGUAAGAAAUGACUUAAUA
rnacentral:lncRNA from 1 species